UUGCUGUGUAUUGUAACUAUGACAAGUAAACAAAUUUUGAAAAAAACCAUUUUCAUCGUCAAAAUGUGCGAAAACGUUCCGGAAGAAAUUGCGAAAAAGGGAAAAGAAUUGCGAAGCAAUUUGUUACCCUUAAAGUCAAAAAAUGCAUACGAGAAAGUAUAUGUUUCGUUCCAAGACUGGAAAAAUAAAAACCGCAUCAAGGAAGUAACCGAAGAUGUUAUCUUGGCUUUUUUGGACAUGAGAUCGCAAAAGUUGUCACCUUGUUCUUUAUGGCCAGAAUAUAUAUUGAAAAAUUUGGUGCUGUUAUUUCGUAUAUAAAAAAAUUAAAUGUUGGUGAUCGUGGCAAAAAAUCCAACGUUCUGACACGAGAAGAAAUCAAAACUUUCUUGCAAAAAGCUGAUGACGGAGAAUAUUUAUUCGAGAAGGUUGCUUUAAUCUUUGGAAUUGCCGGAGCUUGCAGAAAGGCCGAAUUGUGUGCUAUGAGAUUUGACGAUAUACAAGAUUGUGAUAAUGUUCUGAAUAUUGUUAUACCUGACAGUAAAACCCACAAAGAAAGAAGAUUCAGUGUAGUUAAUGAAGGCUUUGGUGUUAAUACCAUUGAUUUGUAUCGACGUUAUGUUGCUUUACGACCCACAAAUUCACCAUUGAGGUUUUUUUUAAACUAUUAUAAAGGUAAAUGUACUCGCCAAAAUGUAGGA